ACCCUUUUAAGUAUUGAAAGCAGAUGUUCAAGGGGAAUUAAUACGAAGAUGUUUGAAGAAGAUGAAAUUUGGGGAAGCGGCUUAAAUAAAAUUCUAAAAACAAAAAACUAAGAAUAUUAUUAAAUUCAGCAUCACUUAAUCUAAUGCUAGAGCCAGUUCAAUACUAGAAGUUUCACUCCCAAUACACCGUUUCACAAAAUAGUAGCAUUUAAUUUGCUCCAGGUCAUUCUUGUAGAAAAUCUCCUCCAAUUAGUGUUUGCUAGAAAGGCUUUCAGCCUCAAUAAAGGCCCAUUAUACUUUGUGACAUACUGGCAAAUGGAAAAAGGAGACAAUAGCAGCACAGUUGGAUGGUUUCCAAAUGGAAAUUCACAGAAGGAAGUCCAUACUCCAUAGCAAGCAACAAUACCAGGUUUAUAAUUCAAAAAUCUUGAUUAUAAUUGAAGGCCCCUCCACACAAGAACCACAAUUUAUUUUAAUUCUGUUGUACGUCAAAUGCUCUAAAUUUAAACCAGGACACAACCUUCCAUGACUGUAACGGCUUUUCCUCGCAACAGCACCCUCUGGUUUUGUUCAUCUAAAUGAAUAUCCACUCUUCCACUUCUAGGAGAUGCCUGAACAAAGUAAACAUUAUAGUAUAAUCAAUAUGAUGAAGACCAUAAUGACGAUGAUGAUAACAAUGAUGAUGAUCGGGGGAAGAUUACCGCAUAUGCAAGUAAAUCGCAUUUCCCCAACUUUUGGCUCCAAUAAGGUGCUAAGCUACAAUGUGCACUCCCACAAACAGGAUCCUGAGAGAUAAAAGAUAUUGAGCACAAAGGAAUAUAUGGAGGUAUGCAGAAAUUGUAAUGAAAAGGAAUGGGCCGAUGCUGGGGGGAAUUUUCUCCAGCUGAAAAACACUCUCAUGUGUUCUAAUUUAGCAUGUCCAAUCUGGUCUGCAUACUUUGAAGAAGCAUAUAUAUAAAUUUUCAAAACAAGCUAGAUGUUCGAUGUGAGAAGUUGUUUGAUGCUGCAAAGAAAAACAUUAUAAUGGUUUGAGACCAAGUGACAACUUAUUACCUCCUUGAUCCCCAAUUUGGGACAGAAGAAGCGACUGAAGAAGUCAAAUUCAGAUUCUGGAGGAGCAAGCCCUGUUAUAAUUAACCCCCUCCCUGGAAGUUUUUGUAUAUCAUCAAACUGUGGUUCUAUAUCCACAACGGUCUUCCCAGAUGGUAGCACGACCUGAACCAACACAACACAACUAGCUGUGAAGAAGUUGUCUUUCUCUACCAUAUGAAUUAUAUGGACAAAAAAGUGAAGAAGCAAAGGGCUAAAGGAUUCGAGAAAAUACAAAGAGGUCAUCUCCCUCAGUCUUCUUUAUAUCAAUCACUGAAGCACCAUUCAAGGCUUUGGAUAUUGAUGCAACCUCAGCAGAGUUAUAUUCGACCAUUGGGACAAUCGGGAAAUCUAAUUCGACAGAGAAGUGUUCUUGUGCUUCUCCAUUCUCAUACUUCAAGGCAUCUGAUUUGUUGCCUUGCAUGACUUUUCUGGCAGUUAAAACUCCAGACAGUGUGAUGAACUCUAUCAUAUUUCCCUUCAUCAAGCUGGAAGUGAAGAGAAAGUGUGCUGCUGCUAAGGUAGCAUGGCCACAGAGAUUCACCUGCAAACAAGCGUAGCAUAGACUUAACACAAGGAAGACAUAGCUAGCUGUCAAUUGAAACACAGACACAAGCACUAAUUGGUAAAAUAUGUAUUAGAUUUAUAACGACCUACUCCCAACCAUUAGAUAUGUCUUCCUUGGGCCAAAAGGGUUCUCAAGAUUUUGAAACGCGUCUAAUCUACAUGAUUAAGAGGAACCCAUAAAUAUUCAAGUACUUUUCUCCUUCCCCUAUCUAAUGUGAUAUGUUAAACAAACUCUCAUUUGUAAUGAUCUAUUCCUAUUUGUGUAGAUAUUGUCUGUUUUGCACUAAAGAGGCUCUCAUUUAUAUAUAUAGUGACAGGAACUUUUUUCGGCUAUCCAAGAUAUCAUAAGAUUAGUAUAGUUUAGAUAUCAAAACCUGCAAACCCAGUCAAUGAAGGUUGUAAACAAACACCACAAUAAGGGAUUAAGCUUAAUUAUUAUUUUUCUCUUCAGUUUGGGAAAUGGGGAAGAAGAUUGAAAUACAGCACAAGAAUGUUCUUUUCCUUCAUAUCUAUAUUCAAAUUUGGUAUUUGUGGUUCUCAGAAUUUCUCAAUCGGGGCAUACUUUUUCUUGAAACUAGUACAACCCAAUUGAAGCAAGCAUUGGAUUAAGUCAUCCAAUAAUUCCUGAAAUUAAACUUCAAAGUCAUAAACAAAAGCAAGAAACGGAUUGGGUAGCUGAGAAAAUGGGACGAAAAAAUAAAAUAAAAAUCAAACUUAUCUUAUCAGUGCUUUUUCUUUCAGAGGACUAAUUCCCACCUUUUCUCAACAACCAAACAUAGCAUAUGAUAAAAAUUGUAGAAAUGAACUCACCUCGGUAGUGGGAGUGAACCAUCUGAGCCGAAACCUAGGAGUUAAAAUUGUAGUGGACGAGUCAAGAGCCUCUGGCUCAGUGAUCCGAUUCAAGUAACAAGUUUCAGAGAUAUUGAACUCCAUAGCCAGGGCCUGCAACCAAUCCUCAUCUCUCUCUUCCUCCAACAAGCAAACUGCAGCUGGGUUUCCCUUGAACGCUGAAUCAGUGAAUGCAUCUACCUGUCUCACAAUUCUCAACCAUAGUCAAAUAUAUAGGAUGUACCCACAUCUACAUAUAGAAAAAGAGGGAGAUGCGACACUUACCACUGUGAAUUUGACUGGUUUUUUCGCCAUGAAAGAAAGUUCAGCUGGAAUGGUGUUUUCUGUUAUCUCUGUAUGGUAAGGUGGGGAUGAGAAACUCAACUCUUAAAAGGCGGCUUCUCUUCCGACGACUCUUUUGAGCUGUUUUGCGGUUGGUGGAUUAUGGAAAUAAAAAAUUAUUAAUUACAAGUUUUUUUUAGAUUCCCUUUUUCACAACAGAGAAAGAUAAGAUCCAACUGUUUUAGAAAAGGGUUUUUAAGAAUAAUAUAUUAUUAUAUUUGAUAUUUAAAUGUAUUUAAUAUAUUUAAUAAAUAAAAUUAAAUAAUUAUAUUAUAUGAUUAAAUCAUAUUAACUCAUUUAAUAAUACUUAAAAUUAAAUUCAAAGUAAUAAAUAAAAGAAAUAAUAAAUUUGUUUAGAAAAAAAAAAUUAAGGAUAUAUUUGUUAACUAUUUUUGAAAUUCUAUUUUUUAAAAUAAAAAUUUAGGAAGACACGUUUGAUAAUUUAAAACUAUUUUCUAUUUUUACUUUCAAAAAUAGAAAAUAUUAUACUUUCAGAUAACAUUUUUCAGUUGUUUUAUAUUAUUUUUACCUAUUUUUAAAAAAAUUAUUUUAAAAAUUAAUUAUUCAAUCAAGUAAAAUGAUUAAAAAUAGGUUAAAAAUACUUAAAUUUUUAAAUGAACUUUUAUUCUAUAAAACAUUAAAUAAUAAUUUUAAAAAAUUACUUUAAAAAAAUCAUUUUUAAAACUAUUUUCUAAAACAGUUAUUAAACAAAUCUUAAGUAUAUUUAUUUUUUAAUUUUGAUGUAUGUAUCUUACAUUUUAAUUUUCAAUGUUCAAAAUUUAAUAUUUUGUCCUUAAUUGUUAAAAAAAUCCAUGAUCAAUUUAUUAAGUAAAUAAAUAAGGUUAAAAUACAAAAAAAAAAAAAUUGAUUAAAUUUGAAGCCCACACGCUUUACAGUUGCAUACGAAAAUCUAUAAAAUAAAAAUAAAUAAAUAAAUAAGUGAAACUCCACAGCCCUGGCCUGCAAUCAUUCCUGAUCUCUCUUCCUCUAACAAGCAGACUGCAGCUGGGUUUCCCUUGAACGCUGUCUCUGUGAAUGCAUUUAGCACACUGAAUUUGACUGGUUUUUUCGCCAUUGAAGUGGGGUUGUGGUUGAGUUCACUGGUUAUGGUUUCUCUUUGUCUCAGCCUCUGAGAAAGGUGGAGAUGAGACCAUCAAAAUAUAAGCUGGUUUUGGUCGGUGAAAUAAAAGUAGUAACUGAUACUUCUUGUACAAUACUACCAUCAAUGACAUGACAAUUAUACUUUUCAUACCAUAAUUAGAAUCUUCGCGUGCCAAGGUUAGGUUCAAACAUUUUCCUUUAAAGCCUUUGUGUUAUUCACCUCUUUCUAUUUAAGUAUUAUCUGCAUAUGUGAUUUUUGUGGGGACUCCCCUCCACGUGUCACUCCCCUCAGUACUGCCCGGAUAGCUGCCACAUCAUCCGAAGCCUUCUAUCCGGACCACACAGGCAUGCAGCAAAUGACACUAGACUCCCUAAGUGGGCAACGUCUUCCAACCAGCCUUCAAGCCCCCUUGCUACGUGUAAUCAUUUCCAUCUCACAUGGAGGUGACUGAUGAGAUAUUCCCCAGUCCUUACAUUCAUGUCAAUGGAUUAUCACACACCGUCUCAUACCUCCAGCAAGUUGAAGUGACAGACAACUGCAUCAUGACACAACUUUCGACGGCACCUGCUAGCCGCCUAAAACUGUAAUGAUUGUCCUAUCACCUGCAAGACAGCCAUCAUUAUGGAGAAAGUCAAAGUGUCUAUUCGGCACUACAAUAGCUUUCUCCUAAGCACUAGAAAAAGUCCUCCUGAAGCAUAAUCCAGGUACGCGCGUUUAAGCUGAUCUAUUCAUUCUCUCCUUGAAAGGGUCUGAUCUACCUAACUUAAGCUUCGGAGGGGUGUGCCUGGACCACCUAUUCAGACAUCCUUUGUGCAAAGAAGAAGCUUGCCCAGUUCCCUGUCACUAGGCAUAAGCUCUGAGACGCACAACGUAAGGAGUAUCUGACCUCAGUUGACCUCGCAUAACAAUUUCCAUUGCUAUUUUGAAACUCUUUAGCCCCAACAUCACCACCGUGAAUGACCAACCUGUUGCAUUCUAUUAAACCAAGAAUACUUUACAAGACUAUAAAAUUCUCAUUUGGUGCCUUGGCAGCCAUCACCCAUUUAUGCACACUAUUAGAACGGUGUGGAACUGUUACGCCCAUGACAUCUCUAGAAUGAUUGAGACGUAGUAAAAUUUUAUCCAUUAUUCCCAGAACUUUCACCCAACUCUAGAGGAAGGUAGAGAUCAGUGGACUCCUUUGGAAGAAUGAACAACUUGACUUCAUGUUUACAAAGUUCUACUCUGCUGUAAGUGCUCAAAUCAUGGAUUAUUUAAGAAAAACACGACACAUUGAGGAAAAAAAAUGUAGAUUUAUCGAAAUCCCACCCUUUUAAGUAUUGAAAGCAGAUGUUCAAGGGGAAUUAAUACGAAGAUGUUUGAAGAAGAUGAAAUUUGGGGAAGCCUGAAUUUUACAGGCUUAAAUAAAAUUCUAAAAACAAAAAACUAAGAAUAUUAUUAAAUUCAGCAUCACUUAAUCUAAUGCUAGAGCCAGUUCAAUACUAGAAGUUUCACUCCCAAUACACCGUUUCACAAAAUAGUAGCAUUUAAUUUGCUCCAGGUCAUUCUUGUAGAAAAUCUCCUCCAAUUAGUGUUUGCUAGAAAGGCUUUCAGCCUCAAUAAAGGCCCAUUAUACUUUGUGACAUACUGGCAAAUGGAAAAAGGAGACAAUAGCAGCACAGUUGGAUGGUUUCCAAAUCCAAAUUCACAGAAGGAAGUCCAUACUCCACAGCAAGCAACAAUACCAGGUUUAUAAUUCAAAAUUCUUGAUUAUAAUUGAAGGCUCCUCCACACAAGAACCACAAUUUAUUUUAAUUCUGUUGUACGUCAAAAGAUGAAACUUGCUCUAAACUUAAACCAGGACACAACCUUCCAUGACUGUAACGGCUUUUCCUCGCAACAGCACCCUCUG
rnacentral:lncRNA from 1 species